UUUCAGAAACAAAUUUCGCUGCUUUAUGCUCCUGUAUAGCAUUAUUAGACUUCAUUGAAUUCACGUUUGCAUCCGCCAAACUCGGCCAAGACGGCGAGUAAAGAGGAUUUUCAUCUUUUGUAAAAGAGACCCCAUUGUCUAAAUAAUUAUUAUCGCUAUACAUGGAAUCUUCUAAAGGUUCUGUCAUUAAAGAUGCGGAUCUCAUACCAGCGCGCCAUGGUGAACCUCUUGGAGUAGAUUCGCGCGAAUUUGAGGAUAAUUGAUUAGCAGAGGCUUCAUAAUUAAGAAAAGGAUCCUCUGCCACUUCCCUAUCAGACUGGUAAUUAUGUUCAGACAUGCGAAACCACCAGCAAGACGCUGGAGGAUUAGAAUAAACAGUUGCAAGACCAAGCUCGAAUUUGCAAGAGAUUCUUGCACUCUUGAAAGAUAAAGAGUUGAAAGCACGAAUUAACGAAUAGAGUAUGCACUCUGAAAACCUAACUUAACAUACUGUCUUAUACUAUUUAAAAGUAAUAUUGCAAAACACAGCAACAAGACAGUUCGCUAUUAGUUAUCAUAACGUAUUUUAACGGGAUCCACGAAGUUUUCCUGAAUAAGCUUUUCCCACAGUUCGUUAGGAUAACUUGCUAGUUUUUAUUAACCGAAGCUUAAUUCUAAGCGGCAACUUCGACUGUGCGGGCAAACAGUACGCUUCGUUACAUGUCACUAUGCUUUUUUAACUAUUCCUAAAAAAUCUUUAAAUGCCUUUAACACACAAUAAUCGUUAUUGUUUUUAGUGAGUGUAUGGUUGAGAUAGUUUGAAAUAGGAACUACGUA